ncrna:unclassified sequences S10-Clostridia ribosomal protein leader
UGAUAGCGAAGAAGCGAGAGGUUGCCAUCCGAUGGAUGGGUUUUCCGUGGAGCGAAUGUCAAGAGACCGUAGAUCAGCAUAUCACGGUCGGUAAACCUGACGGCAA